UACAGAGGUCUCAAGCGUUGUUCGGAAUCACUGGGCGUAAAGGGUGUGUAGGCUGCGUGUUAAGUCAGAUGUGAAAUCCCGGGGCUCAACCUCGGAACUGCAUCCGAUACUGGCAUGCUGGAGAAUUGGAGAGGAGUCUAGAAUUCACGGUGUAGCAGUGAAAUGCGUAGAUAUCGUGAGGAAUACCAAGUGCGAAGGCAGGACUCUGGACAUUUUCUGACGCUGAGACACGAAGGCUAGGGGAGCAAACGGG
rnacentral:rRNA from 1 species